GAUGAAGAACGUAGCGAAAUGCGAUAAGUAAUGUGAAUUGCAGAAUUCAGUGAAUCAUCGAAUCUUUGAACGCACAUUGCGCCCUCUGGUAUUCCGGGGGGCAUGCCUGUUCGAGCGUCAUUAUAACCACUCAAGCUCUCGCUUGGUAUUGGGGUUCGCGGUUCCGCGGCCCCUAAAAUCAGUGGCGGUGCCUGUCGGCUCUACGCGUAGUAAUACUCCUCGCGAUUGAGUCCGGUAGGUCUACUUGCCAGCAACCCCCAAUUUUUACAGGUUCACCUCGGAUCAGGUAGGGAUACCCGCUGAACUUAAGCAUAUCAAUAAGCGGAGGA
rnacentral:misc_RNA from 1 species